GCGGGGUUUGAGAUUGUGCGUAGGUGCGGCGUCAUUUAUGAGGCUUAUUAUGUGAAAUUGGUGCACUAAGUUGUGUGUCAAAAACAGGUGGUGGACUUCCGGAUCGUACUUAGGGAUUUGCCCAAACUUUCGGUGAAGGCAAGUAAAACAGUGGUGGUUAUUCCGUCUGUCGAAUUAAGAGUCUUAUACUUGAUUAUGUUUGUGCUAUUUGUGUUCGUAUUCAUAUUUCUAAUUGAGUACCAUCGUUGGAAAAUAUUCAUGUUUUAUUGAUUACAUAUGUUGAGUUUGUGGUUUGAUCAUGUUACCCAUGUGGUUUAUUAUGUGGAAUGGGUGGAAGUAUAUGUCUAGCACAUUUUGUUUGGGAAGAACUCAUGUUGUUGACUUGCAUAAUGCAUUCAUCAUCCAUUGCAUUGAAGUUUCGUCGCGAUCUUAUGGUCCGACCAUACCGGUACAAUGAGCAUCAUAUGUUGCCCGAGAAGGGGUAUGAUGCAGCUUCAUAUUCUUAGAGACAUGAAGGCAGAAGUCAUUACUGCAUCUGUAGCCAUGUGCAUUCAUGGGAGAGGUGUGGAAUCUGUUAUGUGGAUGUCGAUUGUGUGGAUCUUUACAUUGUGAUUCAUCUUGGCAUUAAGUAAUCAGUUACUUGCUUACUUGCUGCAAAUUAAUAUUCAAGAAGGAAGUUUUGAACUACGUGGUUGUUUAAGCACGGUUGGUUUACAUUGUCCAAUUGUUGUUUGCUCUGUUUACUUGCUGAGAUGUGUCAUCUCACUCUUGCAUUGUCUGAUGCAGGCACCUGAUUUCUGCUUUGGGAAAGAAGGGAUGUAGCAGCACGACCACUACACCUUUAAUAAAGGAACCACUGCUUAAUAAUGUUGUUAAUCAGGGAGGGUCAAGUCUAGAGAAUUAUUAUGUUCUAGCCUUUCAUGGUAGUUGAGCUGAUUUUUUUGGGGUGGGCUAAGUUACCCAUUUUUUUAAUUGGUCAUGAAUGUGCUUUACUACUUUUGCAUUUUGAUUAUACUACGUGAAUUAUCUGUCUUUUAUAUCUUGUAUGAACUCUAUGUCCCCCCCUUGUUAUGCUUCUUUCAAGGGAGGUACUACCGGAUUUUGCAAUAUUUUCUCUCUUUAUUUCAUUUAUUGUGUUGCAUAAGUUUAGUGGGAAGGGUAUUUGGUAACAUCCAUUGUCUGGGAUCAGUGGGGUUGUUACAGUUGGUAUCAGAGGAAUAGGCUGUAGGUCCUAGCAAGUGGAAUAACAAUAAAUUGACACACUGCACAUGUAGGAUUGGUUUUCUGCUUUACUAUUGAUAUGUUAUGUUAUUGUCUGUGCUAGUUUGACAUUAUCUGAAGUGAUGCUAUGCCAAUCUUAUUUACUUAUUAUUCUCAUCCCUAUGGCAGCAGCUAUGCCGCCUCGUAGGGCUCGGGGUAGUCCGCAAGUUCCUAGUGGGGACUCGAUGAGUCCGACAGCAAUGUUAGCCGUGAUACAGGCCAUGCAGCAGGAGUUGGCCAUUCUGAGGCAAGCUAUUCAUGUUGCCCCUGCGGGUGCUGCUCAGGGUGCUAGUGGAGGAGGAGUGCCCGAGGGCACUGUCCCUGCGGGUGCUGCUCUAGGUGGCGAGGCUGAGGUGCCUCUUCCAGUCAGUGGUCUUUCUCUGAUGCAGUGGAUGGGCAUGAAGCUGGAUGCUUUUGAUGGCAGUGGUACUCCGGUCGAGGCGGCAGAUUGGCUAACUUACAUGGAGGAUAAGAUGAAUGUCUUUGAGAUUGUGUAUGGUGAUCGUGUUCACUUUGGCACACAGCUGCUGAAGGGAGAGGCUCAAAUUUGGUGGAGAGGUGUGCAGGCAGCGCACUCCUCCUCACCAGGAGUCCUGACUUGGGAUGUCUUCAUCAGGAAGUUUGAAAGGAGGUUCUACCCGGUCACCUUCCUGGAGAAAAUGAAGAUUGAUUUGCAGUCUUUCAAGCAAGAGAAGAAGUCUGUCACAAAGUAUGAAGUGGGCUUCAACAAGAAGGUCCGCUUUGUCCCUCAUGUGGCUUUUAAUGAGAUGGAGAAGGCGAGCCAGUUCCGUUAGGGCAUGAAACCUUCUAUCAGGCAUGCCUUGGGAGCCUUUCCGUUGGUGGACUUCCGUACUACAGUGGAGCAGGCACUGGGUGUGGAGAUGCAACACCAGUAUACCAUGGAGUCGUAGAGGUCUUCGGGUGUUGAUCAGGCUCGUGGCCAGGACGCGAGGAGGGGCAACACUGGAGGUCUAGCCCACAAGAGGGGCAAGUCUCAGCAUUAGCGCCACCAUCCCUACCGUGGCAAAUCUUCUGACUCGGGUACUUCGAGAGGAAGUACUCAGAGGUUUCGGGCUAUUCCUAAGCCCGGGCUGGGGCUGGUGUGUUUCUGUUGUGGUGAUGCGCAUCGCCGUGCAGAGUCCCAGUGGAGUGGUAGGUGUUCAAUCUGCAGUCAAGACUACAAGGAUGUGGUGUGUAGGAGGAAUCCCAAUGGGAAGCUUAGAUGGGAGCCAGUGACUUCCUCCUCUUCUCAGGGCACUGUCAACAUGAUGUCAAGCGCUGAGCAGCAACUUUCAGUUCCACUUCCUCCACAGCAGUUUUAUGUGCCUGGGACUUCUCAGUUCGUGCCGAUGCAGGGUUUUCCUCAGUAUCUGGAUGCGCCUACUCCUGCACCGACUACUCCUAUGUCGUCUCAGUUUGGAGCUCCGCGUCUGCCUCACCCAGCGGCUUAGUGGGGUUCUUCUGUUAAUUUCACUCCGGGAGCUUCCUCUUCUACGGGUAUUUCUGGGGCUUAUGUGCUACCCGCUGCGGAUGGCAAAGAGCAAGGAGACAUGGUGACAGGUACGAUUUCAGUUGAUUCGUUUGUGUCCCAUGCUCUUUUUGACUCUUGCGCUAGCUAUUCGUUUGUUUCAGAGGAUUUUGUGUCGCGGGUUGGUCUUUCGGUGCAGAGGUUGGGUCACCCAAUUUUGGUUAGUUCUGCUAAUGGCUCCAUUAGUAGCUAUUCAAUUUGUUAGGGGUGUUCCGUCAUUCUUGCUGAUGAGGUCUUUUCGGCCAAUCUGGUUGUGAUUUCCUUGGGGGCAUUCGAUGUUAUCUUGGGUAUGGAUUGGUUAUCUCAGUAUCGCGCAGUUAUAUCCUAUUUUUGGAAGACAGUGUUAUUGUAGGCACCAUUAGGUAGGGAGGUGGUAUUCUUAGGAAGUUCCCCUAAGUUCACGUUAUCCUUGUUAGCGCAAUUGCUUCCGGAUCGCCGGUCCAGGAAGUCGGGAAUCUUUUUCUCCAUGGUGGUGGAGGGUGAGGCUGCCUUGCGGGUGCAGGACAUCCGGGUGGUGUGUGACUUUGCUGACGUGUUUCCGGCAGAGCUUCCAAGCAUUCCUUCAGAGCGCGAUGCAGCUUUUGAGAUUAAGCUGAUUCUGGGUAUGCAGCCCAUUCAUAAGGCUCCGUAUCGAAUGGCCCCAAAGGAAAUUGAAGCAGCAAUUGGAUGAUUUGCUGGCUAAGGGUUUAAUUAGGCCUAACAGGUCUCCAUGGGCUUCCCCAGUAUUGUUUGUUGAGAAGAAGGAUAAAAGCAAGCGGCUAUGUGUGGAUUAUCGUGUUUUGAAUCAAGUGACUAUCAAGAAUAAAUAUCCACUCCCCCGUAUUGAGGUUCUCUUUGAACAGUUGAGGGGUGCCUAGGUGUUCUCCAAAAUUGAUUUAAACUCUGGUUAUCAUCAACUGAGGAUUCGUGAGGAGGAUAUUGAGAAGACCGCUUUUUGCACCAGGUAUGGGAAUAAUGAGUUCAUAGUCAUGUCUUUUGGCUUAACUAAUGCCCCUGCUAAUUUUAUGGAAGCAAUGAAUAGGAUGUUGCAUGAGUUCUUGGAUGACUUUGUGGUCGUGUUCCUGGAUGACAUUCUGAUUUAUUCUAAGACCGAGGCUGAGCAUGAGCAGCAUCUCCGUCUCGUUCUGGGUGCCCUAAGGGAGAAUCAGUUCUAUGGCAAGUUGAAGAAGUGUGCAUUUUGGCUGUCCGAAGUGGCUUUCCUAGGGCAUGUGAUUAAUCAGCAGGGCAUUGCGGUUGAUCCCAAGAAUCUUGCGGCUGUGGUGGAGUGGAAGAGACCCUCUAGUGUCUUUGAAAUUCGAAGUUUCUUGGGGCUCGCUGGAUAUUAUCGGUGUUUCGUACCAAAUUUUUCCAGCAUUGCUAAGCCCUUGACUAGACUCUUGGAGAAGGGUGUUGUCUUCAUCUGAUCCAGCGAUUGCGAGGUCAAUUAUCAGACAUUAAAGAGCAAGUUGGUGGACGCCCCUAUCCUAGCUUUGCCUGAGAGCAGUAAGCGUUUCACAGUUUAUACGAAUGCUUCGCGUAUUGGUCUUGGCUGUGUGUUGAUGCAGGAAGGCAGAGUGAUUGCUUAUGGCUCAAGGCGGUUGAGGAAGCAUGAGGGGAAUUACCCAACUCAUGAUCUUGAAUUGGCCGCAGUGGUUUUUGCUCUAAAGUCGUGGAGGCAUUAUCUUUAUGGCGAGGCUUGUGACAUUUACACCGAUCAUAAAAGUCUCAAGUAUAUUUUUACUCAGAAGGAGCUGAAUUUUAAGCAGCGUCGGUGGCUCGAAUUGAUUAAAGAUUAUGAUUUGUCUAUUCAUUAUCACCUGGGGAAGGCAAAUGUGGUGGCUGAUGCCCUUAGCAGGUCCGGGGUUCCAAAAGUGGCCUUGCAGUUGAUUGCUAAUCUGGACCGUUUGGGGAUCGCCUUGUGCUAUGUCGGCACCGCUAGUGAGGAGACUCGUAUGCUUACUCAAUCUUCCCUCAUGGAGAGAGUGCGUGCGGCUCAGCAGCAGGAUCGUUUAUUGCAGGAAGCUCAAAAGAGGGUUGGCGAUGGUAAACCCCGGGAGUUCUCCAUCGAUGAGAAUGAUUUGGUUCGUUUCAGGGGUCGCCUUUGUGUGCCUCAGAAAUCAGAGGUGAAGAUGGAUAUAUUGAGAGAAGCUCAUAAAACGCCUUACACCAUUCACCCUGGCGAAACCAAGAUGUAUCGAGAUCUGAAGCAAAACUUCUGGUGGAAGCGGAUGAAGGUUGACGUUUCUAAGUAUGUGGCCGUCUGUAAAGUAUGUCAGCGCGUGAAGGCCGAGCAUAAGCGGCCUGCAGGUUUAUUGAAGCCAUUGGAAAUUCCGGAGUGGAAAUGGGAGGAUAUCACCAUGGAUUUUAUGGUGGGUUUACCUCGUUCUCCUUGGGGCAGAGAUGCUAUAUGGGUGGUAGUGGAUCGCUUGACUAAGUCUGCGCAUUUUAUUCCCAUGAAGACCACAAAUUCAGCUUCAGAUUUGGUCCCCUUGUAUAUGAAGGAAGUAAUCAGGCUUCACGGGGUACCUAAGUCCAUUGUUUCUGAUCGAGACUCCAAAUUUGUAUCCAAAUUCUGGGAGAGUCUUCAUAGUGCAUUGGGCACCAAGCUUUCUCUUAGUGUCGCUUUUCAUCUUCAGACUGAUGGUCAGUCGGAGCGAACGAUCCAAACCUUGGAAGAUAUGUGCGCGCUUGUGUUCUGUCUUGGAAGGGUAGCUGGGAAGAUCAUCUUGCAUUGCCAGAGUUUGCUUAUAACAACAGCUACCAGGCUAGCAUCAAGAUGGCACCAUUUGAGGUUUUGUAUGGUAGGCGAUGUGUCUCCCCUCUGUGCUGGGAGACCUUGGGAGAGAGAUCCUGGUUGGUCCUGAUUGGGUACAGCAGACUUCUAAAAAGGUUCGGGAAAUUCGUCAGAAUAUUUUGGCCGCUCAGAGCCGUCAAAAGAGUUAUGCUGAUGUGAGGAGGCGGGAUUUGGAAUUUGCAGUGGGUGACCAAGUCCUUCUCAGGGUAUCACCCACUAAAGGAGUUGUUCGGUUCGGUGUCUCCGGAAAGUUUAGCCCGAGAUAUAUUGGACCGUUCACUAUCUUGGCUCGGGUGGGCAGCUUGGCUUAUCGCUUGCAAUUGCCGGAUUCCAUGGCAGGGGUACACCCUGUUUUUCAUGUCUCUAUGCUGAGGAAGUUCUUGCGGGAUCCGGACCAUCAGAUUGAGAUGUAACCAAUUGUGGUGCAGCAGGAUCUGACCUUGGAGUGUCGUCCGGUGUGUAUCUUGGAAUCCUCAGAGCGUGUUUUGAGGAAGAGAUCAAUUAAGUAUGUCAAGGUCUUAUGGACUAAUCAGUCUGAACGCGAGGCUACGUGGGAACUUGAGGAGCUCAUGCGGCAGAAAUAUCCGGAACUUUUUGUUGUGGGUAAGUGUUGUUGAUUCAUUAAAUUUUUCUCUUUUGUCGUUCCGAUAGAAGCGUCAGAAUUCGAGGUCGAAUUCUUUUUAAGGGAGGUACAAUGUGAUACCCGGUUUGCAAAGAGGAGAAGUGGAGGUUAUUCUUUUUGUUCUUUUUCCUCAUUCGGGUGAUGCACUUUGGGAAUUUGGAAUUUGCGGAAAAUAUUCACCUGUAAGGCAGUAGAAUUUCUUUGAUUAGUUGUUUGCGACGGGGUCGCGAGCUGUCACAUGGGCGAGUUGGGCCUUGAACCUUGAUCCAGCCCAUUAGUCUCCCCUAACCCUAGCCACCCCACCUUUCCCCUUGGGAUUUUUGCAGCCGCCCCCUUCCCCUCCCCUUCCUCUUGGACGUCACCCCUCCCCCUCUCCCAUCUUCUUUCUCCUCAAACCUUUGCAGCCCUCACCACCCAAAACCUUAGCCCCCCCCAUUUCUCUUCCCCCCUCCAAGGUGCAGCCCUCCACGUGUUCUCCGUCGUGUGGCUGCGAUCUCAAUUGGAGUUUGAAGGGAGGAAGAAAGAAGGAGGAAGGGUAGAACCCAAGGUGAAUUCAUGUUUAACUUUUGUUGUUUUUGUGCUGCAAUCAAUUGGAUUAUGCGUUUAUCUUUGCGAAUCGGUAGAGGUGCUGUCCAGGAAUUUUGUGAGUGGGUGAACAGCAGUAGUUAUAGGGAUUUAUGGGAAUUUUCGUGGGUUAAUUAGUGGGAAUCAGUGGAAUAAUCAUGUAGAGCUUUGUCAUACCUUUCCAACGAGUACUUAUGCGCUCGAUUCGGAGUUAUAAUUUAGGAGAUAUCAUUGUUUGAAUCCGGAUAUGUUGCUGUCCAAAAAAAAACAGAUUUUUCAGGUGGGUGAACAGCAGUAGUAUUAGCAGUUUCUGGGAAUUUGUUGUAUGUAAUUAUUGAUGACCAGUAUGAUAAUCAUGUAGGGCUUUGUCUUAUCUUUCCAAUGAGUACUUAUGCGCUUGAUUUGGAAUUAUAUUUUAAAAGAUAUCGCUGUUUGAAUCCGGGUAUGUCGCUGUCCAAAAGAGAAAAAAACAGAUUACAGGGUUUAUCUUGUGGACUGUUUUGGGCUAAUUAGAUGUUGGAAUUUUGUCACCACUGCUGUCAUAAUUUUAAAGUUAUGAAAUUAUUAAGCAGCGCCGCUGCAGUUUGGUGGGUGCGGGGAGAAUUGUUACCCGUGGCGGGGUUUGAGAUUGUGCGUAGGUGCGGCGUCGUUUAUGAGCCUUAUUAUGUGAAAUUGGUGCACUAAGUUGUGUGUCAAAAACAGGUGGUGGACUUCCGGAUCGUACUUAGGGAUUUGCCCAAACUUCCGGUGAAGUCAAGUAAAACAGUGAUGGUUAUUUCGUCUGUCCAAUGAAGAGUCUUAUACUUGAUUAUGUUUGUGUUAUUUGUGUUCGUAUUCAUAUUUCUAAUUGAGUAUCAUCGUUGGAAGAUAUUAAUGUUUUAUUGAUUACAUAUGUUGAGUUUGUGGGUUGAUCAUGUUACCCAUGUAGUCUAUUUAGUGGAAUGGUGUCACACCCGGAUUUUAGGGGUCCAAAACCCGGGCGCAAACAUAAUCACCAGGUGUGCUGGGACCAAGUCUCACACAUAUGAUGAAUCAUGGCACAGGAUCGAAUGUCACAUCUUUACUAUAUAAUAGGAGUUUUGUACAAAAUAAAUAAAUAAUUACAUUAUAAGGAGACAACGGUCCAGCAACCCAAAGUUGACUGGGAGACGACGGCCUAGACCUCUCACGAACACAUCGCAGCAUCCUCCAUGUGUCAUCCUACGGUACCUGUUCUUGACCUGUGGGGGGGGUGUGAGACAGCAAGAGUGAGCUCACAUACGUUCAUCGCUCAACAAGUUGUGGGGAAUAAAGUGCAUGAACUCGCCAAAGGUGGGAGCUCACGUGAAGUGUAAGGCUUACCAAAGAGGAUGGUUAGAGCUGAGCAUUGCUUUUAAAGUUGGUCAAAAUUUUAUUAGCAGUUACUAAGUAUAAGUAAAUACCAACCCAAUUAAGUAGUAGAGCAAAAGUAACAUCAUCACCUGCGAUGCAAUGCAUAUGACAAAUUGAAUUUAGUUCCAUAAAUUAAUCAUCAGAGAGUCCUGAGCUGCUCAUGACCGUGAGCUCGGCUAGUAUACCAGUUUUACACUCUGCAGAGGUGGUACCCUUUACCCACAAGUCAUGUUACCCGUCUGCCAAGGGAUCGCGACUUCCCAUACACCUCUACCGAGGAGGCGAGGCAGGGUAACACUACGAGGCCUUUACAAAGUUCCACUAGCUUCAGAAAACCCGCUACAGUUUAUAGGAAGCUCCAAUGCAGGAAUCCCUUGCAGGACCGCCAUCGCAGCAAAAUCCUCCCGAGGGCCUCCCUACACUGACCACUCCCCUACUGCCCUUGCCCCUUUCGGGUAAGGUAGUCCUCCACUAGCUUUCCUAAUUAAUCAGCCAAGGGCGUCCAUAAACCCUUGUGGUGGCACGUGUUUCUCAAGUUAAGCUCUAUGUUCCAAUUAACAUUUAAUGAUCUUGUCAUGAACAUAAAUAGAAUAACAACAUAAUUGGAACAUAGAUGUAAUGAAAUAUUAACCCAAAACCAUAUAAAGCAGUAGCAGAACUACCCAAGUGAUUCAGGGGUAAACAAGGUAUUCAGGAUGAACAAACUAGGGUGACCUAUUGGGUCCCAUCAAAAUUAACCUAUGCAGAUCAUUAUGAUUAAUCAGAACAUGAGUAGGUAAAAAGAAGUGAUCAAGGGCACAACUUGCCUGACACUUGAGAUUCCAGGUACCAACUUGCUCUUCGGAUGACACGUGUCCUCGCGCUAGUCGUAGCAAUACAAACAAAUAUGGUAUAGAUAAAACUAACAUCACACCAAGCAUAAGUACAAACUGAAUAAUAAUGAUCUACGCGUUUCUACGAGACUAACGCAACUUGAACGGAUCAAAUCAGAGUUAAAACGGGGAAGAUACGAAUUUCCUAAUGUUUUAUGUAUUUGAUAUGGAUUUAAUUAGGAAAUAAAUUUUAAGGUGGCUUUCGUGUCAAAUUAGUGGCACUAUUAGAUAAACAAUAAUAUUAUAAAAUUAUAGGAACUGGAAUGACUCAAUUUGGAAUUAGUAUGAAUUUUCUACGGAUUAAACAAAUUCUAGCCAUUAUUUUUAUAUUAAAAAUCCAUUUUCUAUUUAUUUCCCUGGAUUUUCUAUUUACUGGACUGGGCCUCAAUUACUGGUAAGUUCAGGGGCUAACCCGCAAGAUCUCCAAGACACAGCGCCAUCCGCGCUGGACCGCGGGUUGAAUCUCAAUAAACCCAGGGCCCAUAUGCAAAACAGACCCGACGAAGGGGUAUCAGCCAGAUCUGGCCGUCCGAUCCCCAACAGACGGUGCAGAUUAGAUUUGAAUUUUUCAGAAAGGGUAUGAAAUAUAAGGCCUUGGAUCCAGAUCUAACGGUCUGAGUUUUAUGAAAUCUAAUCCAGAUCCGAACCGCACGAUUGCGAUCCAACCGCCCGAAUUCCGCGGGGUGAAGGUGUACGCAGAAUUUAAUCCACUCCCUCCGUUUAGAAUCCUACGGCCCCGGCUUCUAUAACAUGUCUUCUAAUCCUAACCAGUCAUCGCGAGAUCAAGGGCUCUGCGUUCGUCUUCUUCCUUUCGUCAACCCGGCAGUAGUUGCAAGUGCCAGGAAACCCAGCAUGGUGAACGGUGAGCUAGCUACUCGUCGGUACGGGUCGACGUGCGAAUAUAACUCACGUACUGAGAAAGUAAUGGUGGUUUGCAGGGGAGUUAUCAUACCGUGUUUCACGGCGCAAGUACAGUCGUCUAGAAGUCUGCAGCACGACGGCGAUCCUUCAAUGUCGACAACGAAGCACUCGCACAAUCUUCAACGCUCGGCGAAGAGGCCCGGUCCGCUCCUCAUCGCACGCACAGGAAGUACCUGGACGUCCAGUGCGUGACUUGUCGAACACCCUCUCGGCAACAACACUCACGUUCUCUCUCUUCAUCCUUUGUUUCUCUCGGCGGCUGUGAAUAUGACGGCGCACGCCCGGUGCUUUUCUCCAGGGCGACCGAGACGGCAACUGCCAGGACCAAGAGAUUUAUGGGGGCGCGCAGGGCGGUAGCGCCGGAAAUCCGGUUCUCCGUUUUGGUCGGCGCCCACAUCCCGGAAAUACGCGUAUGCGUAUUCGCAGUGGCCCAGCCGUCAGGGACAGUGAAAGGUAUACGGAUGAGGUCACCUGUGACGCCCGGCCGACGUCACCCACGCAGGAAACUAUUCUUUAUUCGGCUGGAGCGGUCCUCGGCGGGAGAAUAGCUGCAGGAGGAAGCCACCUGGGCCGGCUGUUACGGGGAGGUGGUUACGGCAUGCAUGGAUUUGUUACGGGGAGGAAGACGCGGUUGACAUCAGAGCCUAUAAACUAGUUACCCGCGCAGAGCUUCGUACGUGAUUCUAUCGUCCACAUGUCGGUGACUACGUAGAAGUAGACGUGUGCAUGGAAAUACGGCUGCAUGUGUUGCUUGCUUGAUGUCACACUUGUGUCAUGCUGACCUCAUGUGCGGCAAGAGGAUUAAAUAAAAGAAAAGAAGAGAUGUGGGCUACGGAAUACCUUGGGCUGGGUGGGAGGUGAUCUGGCCCAAGCGCAGGAUUGCUCCUCUUUUUUUUCUAUUUUAAAUUUCUUGUUUUAGUUUCCUUCACAUUUUCAGAUUCCUAUUUCAAAUUCAAAAUUGAUUCAACUUCAAUUUUGCCAGUACAAAAGCUAAUACUAAUGUGACCUCUACCAUUUUCAGUAUUAUUAUUUAUUUUUUUCCUUGUUGUUUAUUUAGGGAAGGAAUAAAUAGCUUCAUUAAAUUCCCCUUUCUUAUUUUAUAUUUAUAUCUUCGUUUAUACUUUGAGGUCAAAAUUAUGUGUUUAAUAAAGUACCUCCCACAAAGUCAUCAGUAAGAGAUGCACUUUUCAUUAUUUAUUUAUUGGUUGCUUAAUUAAUUUAGUACCAUUAAUUGAUUAUGAGAAGAAAAUAUCCAAAUGUAUUUUCCAAGGGAUUCAACAAUUCUCAAAACACUAUGAUAAAUAUAUUUGUUUAUUUAUUUAUUUAUUUAUUUUAUACCCAAUUUUAGGGCCUUACAAAUCCUACCACCUUAAAAAUAAUCUCGUCCUCGAGAUUUGUACGGACAUGGAUGUAAAAGAAAACUUUUUUAUAGUUUAGCUUUUAACUUCUAAGAAGUGUCAUGUUAUUUAGAAAGUGGUUAUGAAAGCAUGGGUAUAUAUAUGUAUGGUCACCUUAUUGUGUAGGAUGAAAGAUAGGUUAGGGCAAGCAUAGCCUAGGGUGAGAAGGUUUAUAGUGGGAAAGAAUUCUGUGUUGAGUGGUAAAGCAUUAGAAGAUUGAGUUUGACUUCUCUCCUUCCUUGACGAGGUUGAUCUUUUCUUCUCCAGUCUUGGUCUCCUUGAUUCGAGGUUAGUGUAUAUCAUCGGAGUUGGGGCAUAUGGUCGAAGUAGUUAUGGGUGAGAUGGACUACAUGUUGUAGGUCAAAAUCUUGUUUGAUGUUUGGUAGGCACAGAUAGAUUAUGCAAUCCAUCAUGACUCUAUUGGUUGGGUUAGAUCUAUUAGGAUGACAUAAAAUCUUUUCAAGAUAAGAUGAAUCCUCUAAGGUAAUAGAGUAUAUUUUUAAGAUAAGAUGGAUCUAUUAAGCUUACUAUAUUUUAGUGGGGGAUAAUCUAAGUUGCCUAGUUUUUGUAUCAACAUUUUUUUAUUUACUAUAUGUAUAUAUAGAUGUAAUUGUGGACAUUACUCCACAACUCAUCGCACUCAAUCAAAGAUCCAAAUCAGACAAGCAUCAUAAGAACAAACAUUCAAGUUCAUAGAUAUCUAUAUAACAGAAAAUAAUUUUGUUUUUGUUCCUAAGAGUAGGUCACCUAUUCCUAAAGUCACUUUAAGAACAGGAUUUCAAAGUGUGAAACCCACAUUUGUCUUUAGAAUGAAAAGGUAAGAAUAAUCAGAGUGAAGCGGAAUUAGAUGAGAAAAGAUUAAGAUGAGUUUAGAAAGAGUCAGAGUAGCAGAGGUAAGGUUAAUCAGAGUAGAACAGUAGAAGGUGAAACAGGAUCAAGAUAAGUAUAGAAAGAAUCAGAGUAAGGUAAGUAGACAAUGGUUGUCCAUUUCUAUCUAGGUUUCGUCCUACAGUCAACAUUCCUCUGAUACCACUUCUGUCACACCCGGAUUUUAGGGGUCCAAAACCCGGGCGCGAACAUAAUCACCAGGUGUGCUGGGACCAAGUCUCACACAUAUGAUGAAUCAUGGCACAGGAUCGAAUGUCACAUCUUUACUAUAUAAUAGGAGUUUUGUACAAAAUAAAUAAAUAAUUACAUUAUAAGGAGACAACGGUCCAGCAACCCAAAGUUGACUGGGAGACGACGGCCUAGACCUCUCACGAACACAUCGCAGCAUCCUCCAUGUGUCAUCCUACGGUACCUGUUCUUGACCUGUGGGGGGGGUGUGAGACAGCAAGAGUGAGCUCACAUACGUUCAUCGCUCAACAAGUUGUGGGGAAUAAAGUGCAUGAACUCGCCAAAGGUGGGAGCUCACGUGAAGUGUAAGGCUUACCAAAGAGGAUGGUUAGAGCUGAGCAUUGCUUUUAAAGUUGGUCAAAAUUUUAUUAGCAGUUACUAAGUAUAAGUAAAUACCAACCCAAUUAAGUAGUAGAGCAAAAGUAACAUCAUCACCUGCGAUGCAAUGCAUAUGACAAAUUGAAUUUAGUUCCAUAAAUUAAUCAUCAGAGAGUCCUGAGCUGCUCAUGACCGUGAGCUCGGCUAGUAUACCAGUUUUACACUCUGCAGAGGUGGUACCCUUUACCCACAAGUCAUGUUACCCGUCUGCCAAGGGAUCGCGACUUCCCAUACACCUCUACCGAGGAGGCGAGGCAGGGUAACACUAC
rnacentral:lncRNA from 1 species